rnacentral:rRNA from 1 species
GACUCUCGGCAACGGAUAUCUCGGCUCUCGCAUCGAUGAAGAACGUAGCGAAAUGCGAUACUUGGUGCGAAAUGGGAUACUUGGUUCGCCGAUCACCGAUACACUGGUGAGUUAAAUCGUUCUAUCUUGGGAGGAUAUAUUCCAGAACCU